rnacentral:misc_RNA from 1 species
AACCAUAGAAACCUGCGGAGUACCUGCGGAAGGAUCAUUACCGAGUGUGGGCCCCAUUUUUAAAACAAAUAGGGGUACCUCCCGUCCUUUGCAGGGCCCUUUGGGGCUUUUUGAACUUUGCUUCGGCGGGUUUUACCCCGCCGGAACACCCUCAAGAAAAUCUUUUUAAAAAUACUGUUGUCUGAGCAUAUACGAAAUAAAACAAAACUUUCAACAAUGGAUCUCAGAUCGGAAGAGCAC